rnacentral:tRNA from 1 species
GGCGCAGCAGUAGCGCGCUUCCUUGGCGUGGAAGAGGCCGCGGGUUCAAUCCCCGCCCUGG